ACAUUGAAAGAGCAUAGCGCAAAAAAGUUUCGUGUGUUGAGCGAAAAACGAAACUAUAGAGAAAGCGUAUUGAAAAUACGAGGAGCUGUUUUCAUGUCACAAUUGUGAAUUAAAAGUCUAAUUUUGUUGCUGUAAAACAAUGCGUGAAUCUCGAAAGAAUAACUCGUGUAGUUUUAGUGUUCCGAAUCGACAAGCAAUAGUGAAAUAGAACAAAGUGCAAAAGAGUAUCAUGCGGUAGGCGGAAAACGGAGGUUUAUGGAAUUUAACAAAUAAAAACACCAAAAGCUACUUACCAACGGCAGAAAAAAAGUUUGCGUUAUUUUCUUAUAUUGGAACCAUUGGAUUCGGAUAUUCAAAGCAGAUAGAAGAAUAUGGAUGCGCUGCACAGAUCACCAAAUGGAAGUGAUAUCACAACAAAUAAG